rnacentral:rRNA from 1 species
AUAAUGGGUCAGCGACUUAUAUUCUGUAGCAAGGUUAACCGAAUAGGGGAGCCGAAGGGAAACCGAGUCUUAACUGGGCGUUAAGUUGCAGGGUAUAGACCCGAAACCCGGUGAUCUAGCCAUGGGCAGGUUGAAGGUUGGGUAACACUAACUGGAGGACCGAACCGACUAAUGUUGAAAAAUUAGCGGAUGACUUGUGGCUGGGGGUGAAAGGCCAAUCAAACCGGGAGAUAGCUGGUUCUCCCCGAAAGCUAUUUAGGUAGCGCCUCGUGAAUUCAUCUCCGGGGGUAGAGCACUGUUUCGGCAAGGGGGUCAUCCCGACUUACCAACCCGAUGCAAACUGCGAAUACCGGAGAAUGUUAUCACGGGAGACACACGGCGGGUGCUAACGUCCGUCGUGAAGAGGGAAACAACCCAGACCGCCAGCUAAGGUCCCAAAGUCAUGGUUAAGUGGGAAACGAUGUGGGAAGGCCCAGACAGCCAGGAUGUUGGCUUAGAAGCAGCCAUCAUUUAAAGAAAGCGUAAUAGCUCACUGGUCGAGUCGGCCUGCGCGGAAGAUGUAACGGGGCUAAACCAUGCACCGAAGCUGCGGCAGCGACGCUUAUGCGUUGUUGGGUAGGGGAGCGUUCUGUAAGCCUGCGAAGGUGUGCUGUGAGGCAUGCUGGAGGUAUCAGAAGUGCGAAUGCUGACAUAAGUAACGAUAAAGCGGGUGAAAAGCC